GGACGCAUAGCUCAGUUGGUAGAGCAGCUGACUCUUAAUCAGCGGGUCCCAGGUUCGAACCCUGGUGCGUCCA
rnacentral:tRNA from 1 species